AACGAACGACACCUGUCAACGAAAUCGCCUCGUGUUGAUAUGUAUACACAAACAAUACAAACUGAAGAUACAAUAUGUAUACAUAACUUUUUGGCAAAUCGACCAUUUGAAUGUGGCAUAGCCACAUGGGCAGCGUAUGUUGACCCCCAGCCACGUAAGUGGCAUUCAAAUGAGCACUGGAUCACUGGACUUGACUUGGGGCGAGGUCUAUGGCAUGUAAAUUGCAUUAGGAGCAAUUGUUGGUUGUUGGAUGUGUCUUGGAGUCACGACGCGCCCGGCAUACUUAAGUGGCACUUAACGCCGUUGGCGAGGAGAAAUUGCGUAGGGCAUUGACAUUCAGCGUCAGCCAAUAACAUUAUUAAUAUUUAUUUUCAGCUAACUGAAGAAAAAUGCUGGGUACACCAAAACCAAAAGAAAAAACUUUCACCCCAAAAUGGCCCGUGGGUCAGCUCACGAUUCUCACGUUCAUUAAGCCGGCAUCGAAAUGCCCAAUACCCAUUCCAAUCCCAAGCUCUAUUAUCAAAACACUCUCAAUUUUCGAGAUCGGCAAUCCUGAGGCAGGUGCCCGCUGCCCAGGAAUUUGGGUCAUUGGUGCAAGUUAACACCCAGAAGACCAAAUGAAGUUGGUGAAAAAUGGCUGAAAGAAGUGCUUUGCCGGAAGCUUACGGCGACUUUCUUUUCGCUCGAAAGGAGAAGGCGGAACGAAGAGUUGGCAAUAAUAAUAAUGAGUCACCCGUGUAUCGAUCGGCAUAUUGAUGGCCCUGCCCAGUCGGGCCUGAAAAGCAAUUCG
ensembl:ncRNA lncRNA:CR44326 long non-coding RNA:CR44326